CGCUUACUCUCAGCCUCUUUGAUUGGUAGGCGGGCGGGCUAAGCCCUCUACUUAAGAUUCCAUUCAUAAGGUUAAUUUUCUCUUGUUGUGACGCUUUGGUUAGGCCGACUACUAUACUAUAGGCUACUUUUAGCUUCUAUAGUGGCCUUUCUACUUUGGUGUAGUUGUAGUUUGUAUUGGUACUGAAUGAAUAUAUCAAACAAAGGCGAGCAGUAUAAGCCCUUUUCCGGCCUGGGAAAAGCAGCGAACUCUAGAAGCUAGGGCCUUGUUCACCGAAGACUAUUCCGUUAUCAGCGGAAAGCCGCCUUAGAGAUUGAACGUCGACUUAUCUUAUUACCGUUCAAUCUAAGACAGCGCUGAUAGCUUGUAGUGAACAGCCCCCUUAUGAAAGCAAGCGAAAGCAGCCUUUGGUACUUAAUUAAGGUUUGGAAGCCUUGCAACUAUGAUAGAAAGCCGUUUGCUUCUU
rnacentral:misc_RNA from 1 species